UGUGGUUAAAAAGCUCGUAGUUGGAUCUCGGCGGACUGAGGGCGGUUUGCUUGCUAGUAUUACUGCCCUAUAGUCCGUAGUUUUGCCAGAGGUUUCGGGGUGCUCUUAAUCGAGUGUCCCGGGAUGCUGGCAGGUUUACUUUGAAAAAAUUAGAGUGCUCAAAGCAGGCUAUUACGCCUGAAUAUUCGUGCAUGGAAUAAUAGAAUAGGAAGUCGUUUCUAUUUUGUUGGUUUUCGGAAAUCGACUUAAUGAUUAAUAGGGACAGUCGGGGGCAUUUGUAUUCAAACGACAGAGGUGAAAUUCUUGGACCGUUUGAAGACAAACUACUGCGAAAGCAUUUGCCAAGAAUGUUUUCAUUAAUCAAGAACGAAAGUUAAAGGUUCGAAGGCGAUUAGAUACCGCCCUAGUUUUAACCAUAAACGAUGCCAGCUAGCGAUCUGCGGACGUUUUUUUUGUAGACUCCGCAGGAAGCUUCCGGGAAACCAAAGCAUUUGGGUUCCAGGGGAAGUAUGGUUGCAAAGCUGAAACUUAAAGGAAUUGACGGAAGGGCACCACCAGGAGUGGAGCCUGUGGCUUAAUUUGACUCAACACGGGAAAUCUCACCAGGCCCGGACACUGGAAGGAUUG
rnacentral:rRNA from 1 species